GCUCGGGUGGCGGAAUCGGCAGACGCACAGGACUUAAAAUCCUGCGGGACACAAAUCCCGUGCGAGUUCAAGUCUCGCUCCGAGCA
rnacentral:tRNA from 1 species